rfam:Salpingoeca sp. ATCC 50818 unplaced genomic scaffold supercont1.24, whole genome shotgun sequence.
GACUCCGUGGCGCAAUUGGUAGCGUAAUGGACUCCAGUUCCAUGGGUUGCGAGUUCGAGUCUCGUCGGGGUCA